CAGCUGUUAGCUUUGCAACCGCUGGCAUGGGAUUUGAGUCACAAGCCUACACUGUACUUUGGAGCUCCCUUCUGCCCUCGGAAGUCCUGCAAAGGGCUGUGCUUCCUUGUACGACGACGAAGAGAAAAGGUCCCCAGCAGUCUCUUACAGACAGGAACAACAGAGAGCGAGUAUUUCCAGACAAGUGAGGAAAUUCCCAGAAGCUAGCGGCCAGGGAGCGUGAAUCCUGGAGAACAGGCUUGAGAUGAAGAAAGGAUUCCACAUCUCCUACGAAGCUGCUGAUUUUCCUUCCUCCCUCAGCAGCGACCCUCCGAACUUCCCACUCACAGCAGAGUCGGAUCCAUUGAAAAUAGCGAGAGGGCUGACAAGUUUUGGCAGCUGCAGGCUCACAGAUCACGAAGUGAGGAGGACAAAGACCUAGUUUUAGGAUUUUGACCUAAUGGCUUGAUAGUGUUUUCUGAGCCUCCAGUGGGGUUAUUAAUCCCCUUCUGGUGGCACUCAACCUGCCACGAUGCUGCCUCCCAGCUGACACCACCAAUGACAGCAAUGACAACCGCUACAGGAAUUGCUUUCCAGGGUUCCAAGAAGGUUUCAGCUGCACGACGCCCUUCACUCCUCACAAUAGACACGGGAAAAUGGGUAGAUUCUAGGUUAUUUUUCUAAAGAUGCAUGUAUUAGGUUAUGGUAUACAUUUGGCUGUUUUGAGACAUCACAUAUUUGAAAAAAAGAUUUUUGCUGUUGUUGACCAAUAUACAAUAAAGCUUUUUAGGGGGUUAUAUAAUCUACACUACUUCUUUACCAUCAGAAAACCUGGGAGUCGAAUGUGAAUAUAAUAACACCAUUUACUUUCAUUUUCUCUCUACCGCAGGGUAAGAAUAAAUACCUUGCAUUUUUA
rnacentral:lncRNA from 1 species